GGUCAGAGUCAGACAUAGAUGCGUCAGCCUAUAACGCAAAGAUGGCAUACGCCUCCUCAGCUCUACACGACUUCUGUGACAUGAUCAGUCAUUUUAUUUAGUGAUCUGUCACAAAAAAAAAUUAAAAUGCACAGACAGCAAAAUAAGAGCCGGUGAUCUAUACAGUGAUCACUGGCAGGAUAGGCGUUAAUAGCUCUGAAAAGAAAAAAAACAAAAUCACAAAAAAUGAACCCCCCAAAAAAGUGCUGCUGUGCAAGAGCCAGUGAUUCAAGUGAUCACUGGCAAAAUAGGGAUUAAUGGCUCUGAAAAGAGCCUUUGG